GAUAGAGGGUAGUCAUCAACAGUCCGGGUUAUCAUUUGCGGACUUGAACCCCAGUUCUGUUGUGAUUUUACGCAAAAUAACGGGUUGAUUGAUUGUAAAGGUGGGUAGCUACAUUAAGUUUCAGUUGGCUGCAGUGGUAUCGACUUGCAAUAUUUGUGGCAUGUCAGCUGUUACCUGUGUCCUCGGAGGACGACGGGCUGCGUACGUGGCACCCAGACCAAGUUCUCACGUAUCUGGGCGCU
rnacentral:misc_RNA from 1 species